CUGAUGGUGAAGAAGACGCGGUCCCCAGGGACGGCGCUGGAGGGGCCCAUGCGGAAAAUCACGGCCGGCACUUGGAUGGUGGUGGGGAAAGAGAGGUCAGUGAAAGAGAACCAAUGGGACUUUCCUGAGAUCCCACAACAAAUGAGUAGCGGUGUCUGCACUGGAACCCAGAUCUCCCGAGACCCCCCCAGUGUGCCUCCCACAUGGCUCAUGCUGCUUCCCAGAAGGAAGCCUCUAAGGAGGAGUUGGGAAGUCAGGGGCGCCCCCGCGGAUGCCGGGAGGCAGCCCUUGCUGCCUGCGCGGAGGGAGCUCGGGCUGGUUUACAAAAGAGCUCUUUUCGGUUUGCCGGUGGUACUGCAUGCGAGAGCACGGCGAGAGAGAGGGGACACUGGCAUCCCAGAAGACCCCAGAGAACCCCCGUCCUCCAUCCCCUCACUUAACAACCAGGGUCUGCUUUAGGAAACAUCCAACCCCAGGUAUAGAAAGGGACGAGAAAUGGAAAGAGAAAAAGAAAAGGAGCAACGAGAGGGAACAUGGAUGGGGAGGGCUCCCCAGCACCUUUCACAUGAGCAUUUAUUAAGCACCUACUGUCCACAGGACUCUGGAGGGCACAGAAUCAGAAGCCACUGGCCCCUCCUACCUGCAAGAGGAUGACCCUCCAGCCAGGAAGAUGCAAAUGUGGUGACUCAGACACCUCAUAUUUCACUAUGACUGAAAGCCCACAAACAUCCCCACGAUAACCCUCUGAGGGGAGGAGGGCAGGGAGCACCGCACCCCUUUUCAUAAAUAAAGAAAUUGAGGCUCUGAGAGGGAAGGUCACAAAGGAACAAAAA